GGCAACCGGGGGAACUGAAACAUCUAAGUACCCCGAGGAAGAGAAAUCAACCGAGAUUGCGCGAGUAGCGGCGAGCGAAAGCGCACCAGCCCAAACCCGGGCGCGUGUAAGCGGCAGGCGUUGCCGCCCGGGGGUUGCGGGACACCCGUCCAGGUGCUGCCCACCUGGGAGUGGUCAAAAAUCCGUCAGGUAGCGGAACGGCAUGGAAGGGCCGGCCGCAGCGGGUGAGAGCCCCGUACGCGAAACCUGACGGACCACUGCGGUGCAUCCCGAGUAGGGCCGGGCACGUGAAACCCGGUCCGAAGCCGGGGGGACCACCCUCCAAGGCUGAACACUCUCCUGUGACCGAUAGCGAACCAGUACCGUGAGGGAAAGGUGAAAAGCACCCCGAGAGGGGAGUGAAACAGUACCUGAAACCGUGCGCCCACAAGCAGUCGGAGCAGCCUUUGCGCUGUGACGGCGUGCCUUUUGUAGAAUGAGCCAGCGAGUUGCGGUGUGCGGCGAGGUUAAGUUUGGAAACGAGCCGCAGCGAAAGCGAGCCUUUAAGAUGGCGAGUGAGUCGCACGCUGCAGACGCGAAGCCGGGUGAGCUAUCCUGGGGCAGGCUGAAGCGGGGGUAAGACCCCGUGGAGGGCCGAACCCACUUCGGUUGAAAACGGAGGGGAUGACCCCAGGAUAGGGGUGAAAGGCCAAUCAAACCCGGAGAUAUCUCGUUCUCCCCGAAAUAGCUUUAGGGCUAGCCUCGGCCGUUAACCCGCGGUGGUAGAGCCACCGGAUCGACGAGGGGGCUUCACCGCCUACCGACUCGAACCGAACUCCGAAUGCCGCGGGUCGAGAGGCCGGGAGUCAGAGGGCGUGGGCUAAGCUGCGCGCUCGAGAGGGAAACAGCCCAGACCGCCCGCUAAGGUCCCCAAGUCAUCGCUGAGUGGCAAAGGAUGUGCGUCUGCCCAGACAACCAGGAUGUUGGCUUAGAAGCAGCCAUGCAUUUAAAGAGUGCGUAACAGCUCACUGGUCGAGUGGACAUGCGCCGACAAUUCACGGGGCUAAGCGAUGCACCGAAGCGGCGGACUGAGAAUUCAGUGGUAGGGGAGCUCUCCGCGGGGGGCGAAGCAGCAGGGCGACCUGCUGUGGACCGCGCGGAGGUGAGAAUGCUGGCAUGAGUAACGAGACCAGGGCGAGAAACCCUGGCGCCGUGAGCCUAAGGGUUCCUGGGCGAGGCUAAUCCCCCCAGGGUCAGUCGGGAGCUAAGGCGAGGCCGAGAGGCGUAGCCGAUGCGCAGCGGGCAGACAUUCCCGCACCGCCGACGGCGCGGCAUUACCGAUGGGGCGACGGAGAAGGGUAGCCGGGCGGGGUUCUGGACGUCCCCGUGAAAGCGCGUAGGGCGCAGGGCAUGGAAAUCAGCCCUGCACGGGGCCUGAGACGCGAGACGAAGCGACCGAGCGAAGCCGGUGAGCCCAUGCUUCCGAGAAAAACCUCUAGGGAGUGCCGUCGGCGCCCGUACCAAAACCGACACAGGUGGGCGGGUAGAACAUACCGAGGCGAUCGGGAGAACCACGGUUAAGGAACUCGGCAUACUGGCCCCGUAACUUCGGGAGAAGGGGCGCCGCCGCCGGUGAUAGCCCUCGCGGCAGGAGCUGGCGGCGGCCGCAGCGAAACGGCCCAAGCGACUGUUUAUCAAAAACACAGGACUCUGCAAAGCGGUAACGCGACGUAUAGGGUCUGACGCCUGCCCGGUGCCGGAAGGUUACGCGGAUGCGUCAGCCGAAAGGCGAAGCGCUGAAGCCAAGCCCCGGUAAACGGCGGCCGUAACUAUAACGGUCCUAAGGUAGCGAAAUUCCUUGUCGGGUAAGUUCCGACCUGCACGAAUGGCGUAACGAUUUGGGCGCUGUCUCAACCGUGGACCCGGUGAAAUUGUACUGUUCGUGAAGAUGCGAACUACCCGCGGAAGGACGGAGAGACCCCGUGAACCUUUACUGCAGCUUGGCAUUGGCAUCUGGUACGGCGCGUAGAGGAUAGGCGGGAGCCUUUGAAGCGGGG
rnacentral:rRNA from 1 species